rnacentral:rRNA from 1 species
GAUGAACGCUGGCGGUGUGUCUAAGGCAUGCAAGUCGAAUGCUAGUAGCAAUACUGGCAUGGCAAACGGGAGAGUAACACAUUGGUAACCUACCUCGAAGACGGGAAUAACCUUGCGAAAGCGAGAAUAAUACCCGAUAGUAUGUCAGAACUCAAGUUCUGCCAUUAAAGCUCCGACGCUUCGAGAGGGGCCUAUGUCCUAUCAGCUUGUUGGUAAGGUAAAAGCUUACCAAGGCUAUGACGGGUAGCGGGCGCGGGAGCGUGACCCGCCUCACUGGGACUGAGAACUGCCCAGACUCCUACGGGAGGCUGCAGUCGAGAAUCUUCCUCAAUGGGCGAAAGCCUGAAGGAAGCGACACCGCGUGCAUGAAGAAGCCUUUCGGGGUGUAAAGUGCUUUUAUAUGUGACGAAACAAUGACGGUAGCAUAUGAAUAAGGGGCUGCUAACCUCGUGCCAGCAGCAGCGGUAAUACGAGGGCCCCAAGCGUUAUCCGGAUUUAUUGGGCGUAAAGCGUCCGUAGGUGGUUUAUCGCAUCUCCUGUUAAAUCUCGAGGCUCAACCUCGAGUCAGCGGGAGAGAUGGACAAACUAGAGAUCGGAAGAGGCAAACGGAAUUGCUGGUGUAGGGGUUAAAUCCAUUAAUAUCAGCAAGAACACCAAAUGCGAAGGCAGUUUGCUAGGACGAAUCUGACACUCAGUGGACGAAAGCGUGGGGAGCGAAUGGGAUUAGAUACCCCAGUAGUCCACGCCGUAAACGAUGGAUACUAAGCAUUGGCAGUAUCGACCCUGCCAGUGUUGUUAAUUUAAGGUAACCCGUUAAGUAUCCCGCCUGGGGAGUACGAGCGCAAGCUUAAAACUCAAAGGAAUAGACGGGGACCCGCACAAGCGGUGGAGCAUGUGGUUUAAUUCGACGAUAAGCGAGGAACCUCACCAAGGCUUGACAUCUAGCUGCAAGGUCUGGAAACAGAUCCGCCUUCGAGGGAGCUAGACAGAUGCUGCAUGGUUGUCGUCAGCUCGUGUCGUGAGAUGUACCG